rnacentral:lncRNA from 1 species
AGGAAAUGGAGAAAAGAGAAAGACCAAUUCAGGUGGGCCAAAACCCAUACGGGUUUAGGCUGGGCCAACCCGAUCCAAGACCCGACCGGAUGUUAACCCGACUUGGUCAAUAGUUGACCGGUCAAUAAUCAAUGGUUGACCGAUCAACGGUCAACAUUGACUUUGACCGGUCAACAACCAUCAUUUUGACUAAAAAAGUUUUUGUUUUAAAUGUAUUCUUAGCUAUUUUGUGGUCAAUUUUCUUCCUAAUUUGUUUAAAUUUGGUUUUAGUUUU